CAGCCCCCGGAAGUGGCCGUUGUAAACUUCACCUUGUAGUCUUUCUCCAUCCUGGCCCUAGAGUCCAUCGGCUUUCCUCAGUUGUCACUCUUUCUCCCGAGGGUUGCCUGGCCUCCCACCCCGAGACCUGAAGCUGCGUGGGGGUCGUGGGGGUGCAGGCUGGACCACGCGAGUCCGAGACUUUAGCCCAUCUAACCCGGAAGCCACAGACAUCACCAUAAGGAAGUAUAUUUUUAAGAAGCAGUGAGGUGUUUUGAAAAGGGUUGAAGACUUACCAUGAGUUUAAGCACGUCAAGUAAUGCCACUGCUGGGGACACCCAAAGGGUGAAAAGUGCCUCAUUGGAUGUAAAACAAAUGCUUAAAAAUGAAACAGAGUCAGAUAUCACUGCUGAUCUCAGAAAGAAGCUCCACCGGGCUAAGAAGGAGAAGUUAGAGAUGACAACAAAGCACAACGCAGAGCUGUCCAGCCAUGAGAGCCAGAUUGCCAGGCUGCGGUCUGAGGUGGAAAAAGGAGAAGCGCUGCGGCAGCGUCUAGAAUACGACCUGGCUGUCGUUAGGAAGGAGGCUGGUCUGGGAAGACGGGCGGCGGAGGAGAGACUGGCGGAGGCUCAGCGGAUUCAAGAAAAGCUCUGCGGUAAG
rnacentral:lncRNA from 1 species